GCCAAGGAAGCCAUGGGGAGCAAGCCAGUAUUCAGCUCCCUCCGAGACCUCUGUAUCAUCUCCUGCCCGGUGUGAGCUCCUGUCCUGACUUCCUUUGGUGAGAAACAGCAAUAUGGAAGUGCUAGAUUCCCAAGGCUUCUACUGGUUUGGAGUAUGUGAACAACGUCGUGGCUCUUGCUGUGCAGUGGGACGGUGAGCUUACCGAUGAUCUCCACUGGACUGCGACCCUCCGAGGGCACGGCUGCUGGACUGCGACCCUCCGAGGGCACGGCUGCUGGACUGCGACCCUCCGAGGGCACGGCUGCUGGACUGCGACCCUCCGAGGGCACGGCUGCUGGACUGCGACCCUCCGAGGGCACGGCUGCUGGACUGCGACCCUCCGAGGGCACGGCUGCUGGACUGCGAACCCUCCGAGGGCACGGCUGCUGGACUGCGAACCCUCCGAGGGCACGGCUGCUGGACUGCGACCCUCCGAGGGCACGGCUGCUGGACUGCGACCCUCCGAGGGCACGGCUGCUGGACUGCGACCCUCCGAGGGCACGGCUGCUGGACUACAACCCUCCGAAGGCACGGCUGCUGGAUUUAGCUUGACCUUUAGCACCUGGCAGGUGGCCCAGGCAUAUCCACACUGUGCUCCCUGAACCUCGGCAUGGGUUUGAUACAGAUGUUCCAUCGAGGACUGGGCACUCAACUGUCACUUACCCUCAACACUGUGACCACGUGUGAGCAUCAGCACUAACUGGCACCCAGUGUGAAACUGAGCUUCUCUGGUGAAGGCCGACAGCAGCAUUGCUAUGGGUGUGCAUUCAGAAGGCAGCUUGAUAGCAUGCCCAUUUAGCAAAAUGGCUAUGGUAGAUUACCCCUAGGGCCUUUGACCUUGCCAGCCACAGGCUCUUGACAAAGUUGGCCUCAGUUCCAAAUAGAAAACAAUUGCUUACUCAAAAUAGUCAUGCUAUGUAGUCUCCCCUCCCCCAGCCUGAAACUUGCUGGCUCUGGGGUGGAGCUUCCUGCUCAUUCGUUCUGCCACGCCCACUGCUAGAACCUGCCGCCUUGCUGUUCCGAAGCCAUCACGUGCUCACCCUGCUACUGGACUCCGAGAUUAUUUGGUGGGAAUCGGGUCCCCUCCCCCUUCCUUCAUAACUGAGUGUUGCAACAGUAAAAAUUGAGCUUUGAUCAGAGUGAAAAAAAAAAAAAAAAAAA
rnacentral:lncRNA from 1 species